rnacentral:rRNA from 1 species
CAUGCAAGUCGAGGGGAAACGACAUCGAAAGCUUGCUUUUGAUGGGCGUCGACCGGCGCACGGGUGAGUAACGCGUAUCCAACCUGCCCGCCACUUGGGGAUAACCUUGCGAAAGUAAGACUAAUACCCAAUGACGUCUCUAGAAGACAUCUGAAGGAGAUUAAAGAUUUAUCGGUGAUGGAUGGGGAUGCGUCUGAUUAGCUUGUUGGCGGGGUAACGGCCCACCAAGGCGACGAUCAGUAGGGGUUCUGAGAGGAAGGUCCCCCACAUUGGAACUGAGACACGGUCCAAACUCCUACGGGAGGCAGCAGUGAGGAAUAUUGGUCAAUGGACGAGAGUCUGAACCAGCCAAGUAGCGUGCAGGAUGACGGCCCUAUGGGUUGUAAACUGCUUUUAUAAGGGAAUAAAGUGAGAGUCGUGACUCUUUUUGCAUGUACCUUAUGAAUAAGGACCGGCUAAUUCCGUGCCAGCAGCCGCGGUAAUACGGAAGGUCCGGGCGUUAUCCGGAUUUAUUGGGUUUAAAGGGAGCGUAGGCCGGAGAUUAAGCGUGUUGUGAAAUGUAGAUGCUCAACAUCUGAACUGCAGCGCGAACUGGUUUCCUUGAGUACGCACAAAGUGGGCGGAAUUCGUGGUGUAGCGGUGAAAUGCUUAGAUAUCACGAAGAACUCCGAUUGCGAAGGCAGCUCACUGGAGCGCAACUGACGCUGAAGCUCGAAAGUGCGGGUAUCGAACAGGAUUAGAUACCCUGGUAGUCCGCACGGUAAACGAUGGAUGCCCGCUGUUGGUCUGAAUAGGUCAGCGGCCAAGCGAAAGCAUUAAGCAUCCCACCUGGGGAGUACGCCGGCAACGGUGAAACUCAAAGGAAUUGACGGGGGCCCGCACAAGCGGAGGAACAUGUGGUUUAAUUCGAUGAUACGCGAGG